rnacentral:rRNA from 1 species
UACGUAGGGUGCAAGCGUUAAUCGGAAUUACUGGGCGUAAAGCGUGCGCAGGCGGUUCUAUAAGACAGAUGUGAAAUCCCCGGGCUCAACCUGGGAACUGCAUUUGUGACUGUAGAGCUGGAGUACGGCAGGAGGGGGAUGGAAUUCCGCGUGUAGCAGUGAAAUGCGUAGAUAUGCGGAGGAACACCGAUGGCGAAGGCAAUCCCCUGGGCCUGUACUGACGCUCAUGCACGAAAGCGUGGGGAGCAAACAGG